AAUAAAAUUCUGGGUCUGGUGUCCUGUAUCAAAAAUAAAAACAUUGUGAAGCUUCCACAAUUAUUUUCAACAUGUAAUCUGUAACAUUGCUCCAAUGAAGCAACGUCAAAGUUACACAACAAUUGCGUUCAGAAGUUUUCUAGUAUUUUGUUUUCAGUUGAAAGAGACUCAAUCAAGAUGUGGAAGGAAGAAAUGGAAACAAGCAGAGAAUCUUGGUCAAGACUGAAUGAAAAGGAGGCUAUCUUCAAAUUUUUCACAGAAGUCACACCUAGAGAGGCAAAAGUUUACAGAAUAUAUUAAUAAAAUUUAUGGAUUUUGCUGUUUGUGAUCACACAUGCUUUAAUCCCAGAACUUGAAGGUGGAAUCAGGAAUAUCACGAAUUCAAUGACAUGGCAUCACAGCUGAGUAUGACUAUUGAUUGCCACUCUACCUUGCAGCCUGACAAGCAAGUUCUGGUAUAAUGACAAUUUAUACUGAGGGCAAAGGCUUUCAGUUAUGUGGUAUUACCAAUUUUUAGAUAUGUGGUUUUGGACCAUCACUUUCUGAACCUUCAUCACUCACAUAGGAACAAAAUAAGAAGAUGCUUUUGUGGUAAUUCAGAGAAGGAGAAUAGAGAGAACAACUGUCUGUGCUGCUAUAACUAAGAUAAACAAUCUCUCUGUCAUCAAGUUAACUCCAUGAAGAUCUCCUGGGUUUCUGCCUCAGGAAAAUCUUAGAUGAAGUUCAGAACAGCUGUAGUGCUUUAGUCCUGGCCUGAUCCCUUAAAACUGUUGAAAUCCAAAGCUACAGAGAGAAACCUUGUCUCAAAAAAAAAAAAAUCCAAAGAAAAAAACCCUGAAAAAAAGUGUUCAAAUCACCAAGACAUCAAAAGGUUUUGACUGUAGAGGAGUUUAAGAUCACCCUAACCUAAAUGCUCCUACUCCACUUGGUGCUCUCUUUGGGAAGGCUACCUGAAGGAAAAUGCUGCCCUGUAAGUCCUGUUGAUCUCCUUCCUAUAAGGAGAAUUUACAGAAGUGAAAGCUGAGCUUUCUGGAACUUCAGGAACAUCAGGAUCUGGGAUCACUUAGGAGACAAGCUUCCAGAAACUCAUGUGAGAAAUUUUAUUGAUGAGGUCAGGCUCAAGAAAAGCUAGUGAGCACUUCUCUUCAUUUAUCUCAUUGAUGAGGCUGUGCUGAAAUAAACCCUUCCCUACAAGACAUGCUGUUUUCAAGAAUCCUGUUGCAGCAAUGAAACAAGGAAUAGAGCUCAAAACUAAGAGGUCCUGUGAGAAGUCCUUUCUACUGGAUAGUUGUUUCAGAAGGCACUAUGUGGGUUUUAAGAGAAGAGACAUCCAAUGUCAUCCCUAGCCUUGGAUUAUAAGUGCUACAACACGGAGGUGUCAAGGAGGCUAUGCCUGUUGGUGCAAUAGUGUCAUAACUAUUUGGAGGGUCAUCAAUUGCUACAAGAUUGGAUUUGAAUCAUGUGCUGUAAGAAGCAAUACAAAUUUUUAAUGGAAAGUUUGUCAAAUACCUUUUGAAGUCAUGGGCCCUUAUGGAGAAACUUCUACUAUUCCUCUAAAUGAACAAGGUUUUGCACAUCAGUCAUGAUGAACGCAGCAUCUGAGAAGCAGAGGUGAUGUUCUCCUCUCACAGAGGGAGCUGUUCUCUUGCUCUCACUUAGAUGUGGGUGGAAGAGAUGGAAACAACAGAGAAUUUUAGUCAAGACUGAUGGACACUGUACCAGAGAGAAUACAAAACAUAUAUCUUCAUAGUAUUUCCAGAACUGAUAUAAGGAAAAUAUUGAAAUACAUUUAAAGCCAUGACUUCCUGGGGAAAUUAUGUUCAAGAGCUGGAAUAUUUGUCUACAUGAUCCACAUGAAGCAGCUGAGUUUACAAAUGGUGCUUCAAUUCAUCACUGCAGAUGACUCAGCCAUAUCUUAUUCAAUGCAGAUGGCAAAACGUGACUAAUAAAUUGUAGUCUUUGGUUGAUUGUUAAGGUAUGAUUUCCCACUUUUGCAAAAAGCUU